rnacentral:rRNA from 1 species
GAUGAACGCUGGCGGCGUGCCUAAUACAUGCAAGUCGAGCGAACAGACGAGGAGCUUGCUCCUCUGACGUUAGCGGCGGACGGGUGAGUAACACGUGGAUAACCUACCUAUAAGACUGGGAUAACUUCGGGAAACCGGAGCUAAUACCGGAUAAUAUAUUGAACUGCAUGGUUCAAUAGUGAAAGACGGUUUUGCUGUCACUUAUAGAUGGAUCCGCGCCGCAUUAGCUAGUUGGUAAGGUAACGGCUUACCAAGGCAACGAUGCGUAGCCGACCUGAGAGAGUGAUCGGCCACACAGGACGUGAGACACGGACCAGACUCCUACGGGAGGGCGCAGUAGGGAAUCUUCCGCAGUGGGCGAAAGCCUGACGGAACAAGGCCACGUGAGUGAUAAAGGUCUUCGGAUCGUAAAACUCUGUUAUUAGGGAAGAACAAAUGUGUAAGUAACUAUGCACGUCUUGACGGUACCUAAUCAGAAAGCCACGGCUAACUACGUG